rnacentral:rRNA from 1 species
CAGCCGCGCGGUAAUACCGGCGGCCCGAGUGGCGGUCACUAUUAUUGGGCUUAAAGCGUCCGUAGCCGGGUUGGUUAGUCUCCCGGGAAAUCUGGCCGCUUAACGGUCAGAAUUCCGGGAGAUACUGCCAGCCUAGGGACCGGGAGAGGCCGAGGGGAUUCCCGGAGUAGGGGUGAAAUCCUAUAAUCCCGGGAGGACCACCUGUGGCGAAGGCGCUCGGCUGGAACGCGUCCGACGGUGAGGGACGAAGGCCAGGGGAGCAAACCGGAUUAGAUACCCGGGUAGUCCUGGCUGUAAACGAUGCGGACUUUGUGUCGGACAAGCUAUGAGCUUGUCCGGUGCCGGAGGGAAACCGUUAAGUCCGCCGCCUGGGGAGUACGGCCGCAAGGCUGAAACUUAAAGGAAUUGGCGGG